CCGCCGCCCCGCGCACGCGCGUCGCCCCCUGCUUCUUCCGCGAGGGUCUGCGGGGAGCGCGCGUCCGACGGUCAGCGCCCCUCAGCUCACAGUCCCAGCGGCCCGGCUCGGCCGGCGCCUCCCGACCAAGUCUCUACGGUCGCCCUCCCCUCGGGGUGGCCACGAGGGACUCCUCCUCCUCUUCCUCCUCCCCUCCCUCCCCCUCGGCCUCCGCCUCCUCCUUCUCCUCCUCCUUCGCUGCCCCGACCUCCCGCCCCCAGUUCCAUGCGCUCUGAUAGCCGCCCGGCUCAUCCAGAGAAGCCCUGGGCCAGAUGUCCACAACCCAAGGGGUUAUGGGGAGGCCUCUGCUCUCUGGACACAGUAGUUCUCAAACUGGACAGUGUCAAUCAGCAUCCUCCGGGAGGUCUGGGAUGGCCCCGGAAAUACCUGUGUCCCACCUAUCCCAGCAGGUAAUGAUGAAACUCCUGCUCUGGUCCGAGCUACCGGUGAACAGCGCCCAGCGGGCCGGGCCCCAACCUCGCUCCUGAGCCUGAACAUCCCCCCAACCCCGCCGUGAGAAUUCAGCGAAGAGUAAAAGCUGGAAAAAGUUGCGUGUCUCAGGCUAAGCAGAAGAAAGUGGGGUGACGGCUCCCCCGCUAGGAAGAGAGAUGCCCUUAGGGAGCCCCCUGAUGGAAGAGCUCUCCGCUUAAGAAGGUCACCACUCCCUUACACUCAGCCCCCCUCAGUCUGAUUCCCUGCUAUGCCUGCCAUCACCACUGGCCAGUUUUACCACAUGCUUCUCAAGACCCAAGGCACAAUAGGCAUAAAGUUGUCCCGAAAAGGACAAGAGGAGUGUUAGAAGUAGGAAUGGCAGUCGAAGGAGCUUGGUCUGGCAGCAGAAAGCUGAAAUGACAGGCAAGCACAAAAUAUAUGAAUGAGACAAAGCUAUGCAUGAGCCAAAUAUCAAACUUUCAUCUUCUACCCACUUUUUUUUUUUUUUUUUUUGCUUAAAAAUAGGAAGACAGAAUGUCUUGUCAAGGGUCACCCCAGGAGGAGGAAUAAAUUCCCCAAAAAGCAGAACAUAUUUUUAUGAUUUAAUUAAUACAGUUUAUCUCAAUGUGUCUGUUUAUCAUUUGAGCAUCCACAUGAUCAGACCUGACAUCUGCCUACAUUUUCUUGGUUGUCUUUGACUUCAGUUAAGAACCUUUUGCUCUUUUUUUUCCCCCAGCAGCACUGUGUAGUAAGUUGGGAACAAGACACACCUGAAAUCAAAUCUCUGCUCUGUGCUGGGUGAUCUUAGAGGCAGUCUUUUACCUCUUUCUACUUUAUUGUUCUCAUAGGAAAAGUGGAAAUGAGGCCUUUUACCCCAGGGUUGUUGAGAAGACAGAGGAGAAAAAGCACAUAAAAAUGCACCUUGUCGGGCGUGGGGGCUCACACCUGUAAUCCCAGCACUUUGGGAGGCUGAGGCAGGUGUAUCGCUUGAGGCCAGGAGUUCAAGACCAGCCUGGCUAACAUGAAAAAUACAUUAAAAAUAAUGUCUCUAUUAAAAAGACAAAAAUUAGCCAGGCAUGGUGGUGAAUGCCUGUAAUCCCAGCUACUCAGGAGGCUGAGGCAGAAGAAUCGCUUGAACCCAGGAAGCGAAAGCUGCAGUGAGUCAAGAUCGCAGCACUGGCCAGGCACAGUGGCUCACACCUGUAAUCCCAGUACUUUGGAAGGCUGAGGUGGGCGGAUCACAAGGUCAGGAGAUGGAGACCAUCCUGGCUAACACGGUGAAACCGCGUCUCUACUAAAAAUACAAAAACAAAAUAAA